GCCGCCUUAGCUCAGUUGGUAGAGCAUCGCAUUCGUAAUGCGGGGGUCACAGGUUCGAGUCCUGUAGGCGGCACCA
rnacentral:tRNA from 18 species